CCUACGGGAGGCAGCAGUAGGGAAUUUUCGUCAAUGGGCGCAAGCCUGAACGAGCGAUGCCGCGUGAGUGAAGAAGGCCUUCGGGUCGUAAAGCUCUGUUGCGGGGGAAAAAAGGCAGCAUCAGGAAAUGGGUGCUGACUGAUGGUGCCCCGCCAGAAAGUCACGGCUAACUACGUGCCAGCAGCCGCGGUAAUACGUAGGUGGCGAGCGUUAUCCGGAAGGAUUGGGCGUAAAGGGUGCGCAGGCGGUCCUGCAAGUCUGGAGUGAAACGCAUGAGCUCAACUCAUGCAUGGCUUGGGAAACUGGAGGACUGGAGAGCAGGAGAGGGCGGUGGAACUCCAGGUGUAGCGGUAAAAUGCGUAGAUAUAUGGAAGAACACCAGUGGCGAAGGCGGCCGCCUGGCCUGUUGCUGACGCUGAGGCACGAAAGCGUGGGGAGCAAAUAGGAUUAGAUACCCCAGUAGUC
rnacentral:rRNA from 1 species